rnacentral:rRNA from 1 species
ACUCCUACGGGAGGCAGCAGUGGGGAAUCUUGCGCAAUGGGCGGAAGCCUGACGCAGCAACGCCGCGUGGGGAUGACGGCCUCGGUUGUAAUCCUCUUUCGCGAUCGACGAAGCUCGUACUUCUGGUACGGGUGACGGUAGGUCGAGAAGAAGCACCGGCCAACUACGUGCCAGCAGCCGCGGUAAUACGUAGGGUGCGAGCG